UAAAGUCAGCCCUACUUCUCCGAAAAAAUCCUCAUCACGAACCUGUCGUUAUAAAAGGCGACUGAAUGAUUCCACAGAAACAUUUCUGUUAGCCACGAAAACUCAACAUGAAGGCCAUCUACAUUGCUCUCGCUGUUAUCCUGGCAGUCAGCUGCAUCUCUGCCUGUCCUCACGAUACCUCGAACCAGAGACCCAAUCAGUGCAACGCUGGUGACGGCCGCUGUGACACCAACAGGGACUGUGGUGCCGCUGAGCAGUGUUGUUGGAGGAACUCAGGCUGCGACUCUCAGUGCUACGAUGCUGCCGGUUUGCCAGUGGGCAAGUGACCUCCUCUCGCCACAUCGAGGCCAUGAGAAAUGACUUGUGCGCUGAUUAUUAGUCAGAUCAGUUGCUGUUUUUCAACUGCGAUGUUUUAUUGCCUGCAAAACCCUAAAGAGAAUGUAUUAGGUUCUUUUUUCGAAAAAUAUAUAACUUAUGAACUGUA